rnacentral:tRNA from 1 species
GAAUUCAUAAUUUAAAAUAAAAUGAUAAAUUGCAAAUUUAUUUAUAUAAUAAAUUAAAAAUGUUAUUGAAUUUU